AUGUCUCCAUCUCAAAGCUUCGCCUUAUUGCUACGAUUUCGUCCAACCUGGAUCUCCUCCGUUAGACGCCAACUCACAUUUCCAUCUCACUCUCCUCCGUGUUGUAGCCAUUGUGAUGCUGUGAGGUUUGUUGAUGAUGAAAAUGAUCAAUUGAAAGUGCAGGGAAGGUUUGUUGAUAAGCAUCCUAAAUUCGAAAUGCACACACGUAAUUAUUUUUUGGACAAGGCAAAUGCAAGUGCAGGUUUUAGAAUGUUGACUGGACUGUUGUAG